rnacentral:rRNA from 1 species
CUCUGUGACUCCUACGGGAGGCAGCAGUGGGGAAUAUUGCACAAGUGGGGGAAACCCUGAUGCAGCCAUGCCGCGUGUGUGAAGAAGGCCUUCGGGUUGUAAAGCACUUUCAGUAGGGAGGAAGGUAGUGUAGUUAAUACCUGCAUUAUUUGACGUUACCUACAGAAGAAGCACCGGCUAACUCCGUGCCAGCAGCCGCGGUAAUACGGAGGGUGCGAGCGUUAAUCGGAAUUACUGGGCGUAAAGCGCAUGCAGGCGGCCUGUUAAGUCAGAUGUGAAAGCCCCGGGGCUUAACCUCGGAAUUGCAUUUGAAACUGGCAGGCUAGAGUCUUGUAGAGGGGGUAGAAUUUCAGGUGUAGCGGUGAAAUGCGUAGAGAUCUGAAGGAAUACCAGUGGCGAAGGCGGCCCCCUGGACAAAGACUGACGCUCAGAUGCGAAAGCGUGGGGAGCAAACAGGAUUAGAUUCCCUGGUAG